rnacentral:tRNA from 1 species
GCCAGCGUAGCUUACUCAAAAGCACAGCACUGAAGAUGCUGAGAAGGGUCAUAAUAACCCCGCAAGCA